rnacentral:lncRNA from 1 species
GCAGUGUCUACCUCAGAAGCAAUCGUCAAGGAAAAUUAGUGGAACUAUAUUCACAUACCCGAAGACGAGGGAAGAGACUAAACUAAUCUUGGGAAUUACACUUAACCCAGCCAGCAGCGCUAGCUGCUAAGCUGAAUCGCUCUGUUGGGUCUGUCAAUGGAAUGACAUGAACCCUAGGUGAAAAUCAGAGGAAGAUGAAGGGGAAGAGUUUGGAGAAGGCUCUGGAAAUUAACGCUGGAGUAUAUAAAUAACUUGGGUCGGGGCGGGUUAUAAAUUUGGGUCGGGCGGGUUUAAACAAUUGACUGGGUGGGCUAAUCUGGACCAAUGUGAGACUGCUCUCUGUUGGGUCUGUCAAAAUGGAAGGUAAAUGAAUAAUAGGAAACAAAGAUAUUUGAGCAUGUAACCACUCGCUGUGGCCAAACAAUGAUGUCCAUAGGUCCAUUUUCAUUGAUAUAGACACAAAGAAUGCUUCAUCUGGAAGGUUAUCUUCAUAUAACUUUUGCAAAUAAUAGAAUCACAGAAUGAAUAUACAGAUGGCGAACCCGAAUUACUGUUGACAAAAUAAACCUGCACGAACACCAAAGAGAUGCUUCAGAUAACAAAUGUCCAAGAUGCUCGGUAAAACAUUGCCUAACUGUCAUGUAACACAUGAUAUACAAAACAUAGAACCCCUCAAACUGGAUACUUGAACAACAAAUGUCCACUCAGGAUAUCAACAAAAAAGGAUACUCUUUGAUACAUGAAGAUACAGAAGUAUGACAGAACACCCAAGUUUUCUUAUUUUAGAUAGUAGAGAGGACAACCCCACUGUGUCAUUAUAUUCAGAAACAACACAACUAGUAUCAAUCUUGGACUAGCUAUCAUUUCAGUGUCCAGGCGAUGAAAUGAUCAAUCGUCUUUCUGAUGAAAAACAGUAGGCAUGCUAUUAUUACCAUUGAGAGCAGCAUCACUUGGACUAGAUAUCAUUUCAGUGUCCAGGCGAUGAAAUGAUCAAUCAUCUUUCUGAUGGAAAACAGUAGGCAUGCUAUUAUUACCAUUGAGAGCAGCAUGAUAUACCCGCUUCUCUGCCAAGCCAAUAUCUGAGAGUAUUAAAUUACCCUGCAAGAACAGAGGAACGCGAUCAUGCAUCAGUACAUAAGUGCACAGAGGAAUGAAA